GAUGAACGCUGGCGGCAUGCCUAACACAUGCAAGUCGAACGGACUUAGAUGAAACCUAGUGAUUCUAAGUUAGUGGCGGACGGGUGAGUAACGCGUGGGUAACCUGCCUCACACUGGGGGAUAACAGUUAGAAAUGACUGCUAAUACCGCAUAAGCGCACAGGACCGCAUGGUCUAGUGUGAAAAACUCCGGUGGUGUGAGAUGGAUCCGCGUCUGAUUAGCUGGUUGGUGGGGUAACGGCCUACCAAGGCAACGAUCAGUAGCCGGCCUGAGAGGGUGAACGGCCACAUUGGGACUGAGACACGGCCCAA
rnacentral:rRNA from 1 species